rfam:Egretta garzetta contig87298, whole genome shotgun sequence.
UCACAGGCUUUACUAGAAGCCAUAGAAGUGGAAUAAGGAGGUGAAA